AUGUUUAGUCUUGCUAUGAUGAGCAGAUUAGCCAGCAACAGGCUCCAACAAUCAGAUUACAGUUUUGAUCAAGCUGACAUAUAGGAAAAGCUAAGCUAUGCUGUUUUUAGACUACAAGAGCCCCAGCAUCUAGAUUCAUUUACCUAAGGUUCUGAUCACUCUUGUUUUGCAAUGUAGCUUCUACAACUGAACUAUGAUUAUCAGAGAAAAUGCAGUAUAUCAUAUUUCAUUAAUUUCUUGAUUAAGAAAAUCCAUGUAGUGGAUUUCAUCCAGUAGGAUUUUGCUGUUACUGUACUACAACUUUGAAU